UUGUCAGUAAACAUUUUUAUAGAUAGUCUGUCAUCAAUGAUUUGAUAAACAAUUAACGACAUAAAACAACAAAAUCUAUCAGCAAAUAACAUCGUUUUUCAUUUAAGAAAAAAAAAGUAUUUCUAUUGUAAAAAUCUUUUGUUCUCAUAAAAAUGUUCCAUCAAUCAGUCACGAAACUAAAAACAACAAUUCUCUUAUCAGAAAUCUUAAAUUUAUGCGUCAUUAUUUUCAUAUUUCUUGUUUCGUCUUCCCAAAAUCAAGUUCAAGAACGUCAGCAGAGAAAUAUUAUAGAAAAGGGGCAUCUUGAAAGAUCUUCAACAAUUCUUUAAUGACAGACAAACAGGCAGGUUCAGGUAUAUUAUUGAUACCUUCCUCUCCUCUACAAUGGUCUGUGGCUUUGCGUGAGUUUCCUUCAUCAACAGAAGGUAGUUGUUGCUCUUUCUACCAAUGACACAAUAAUUGCCCUUCCCGUCAAUGGAAUUCCUUUCAAAGUGGCCGGCAUUAGUGGUCAUUUGCAGGUACCUACUUUAUGCUAACAACUAAGCUAUAAGUGUCUUGGGAGAUGAGAUUCAUGUAAAAACAAAUUGACUGAACUUACCUGUGUAUCAUUUAGAAUCUCCAAAUGUUCACCUUUCCUGAAGCUCAAAUCCUCAUCGGUGCGUGCAUCAUAAUCAUACAGUGCGACAAAUAUUUUAGCAUUCGAACUGGAAGUCUCGUUUUCCGGAAUUUGUGGCACUGGACGGAUUUGCUCUUGCGGUGGUGUCUGCUGCAUUGGAUUCUGCAGCACAGGAAGCUCCUCGAGUGCAUUUGUUCGAUCGAUGUUUAACUUAUCGGUGUCGGGUUUUUCACUACGCAGACAAUUACCCAUUUUGUGAUGAUUUUUGUUGUUACUAUGUUCCUAUCCACGAAGAUAUGAUGGGAUUCUUUUAUCACCACAAUUCUCUCCCCAAAGACUCGUAAGACGAAGGAGGCUUUGGAGAUUUAUUUAUAAGUAAUCAAAACAAUAAUAUACAACAAACAAAAACUAACCGAAAUAAGAAUCUUUAUGGGAGAUAAACAAAUCGGAAGAAGCAGUUUGGCCUGGAAUUCGGAUUAAAAAAAAACACAGAAAACACGAUAAAACACGAUAAAACAAAAGGAAAAAGAAAAGGGAAUAGACACUUUAGGGAAUCUUCUCGGAAUCGAAAUCAAUUUGGAAACUCAACGACACAAUCCACACGGAGGACAGAAAAUGAAAGAAACAAAA